rnacentral:rRNA from 1 species
GAUGAACGCUGGCGGCGUGCUUAACACAUGCAAGUCGAACGAAGCGAUAGAAACGGAACAUUUCGGUGGGAAGUAUUUAUUGACUGAGUGGCGGACGGGUGAGUAACGCGUGGAUAACCUGCCUCAUACAGGGGGAUAACAGUUAGAAAUGACUGCUAAUACCGCAUAAGCGCACAGGACCGCAUGGUCUGGUGUGAACAACUCCGGUGGUAUGAGAUGGAUCCGCGUCUGAUUAGCUAGUUGGAGGGGUAACGGCCCACCAAGGCAACGAUCAGUAGCCGGCCUGAGAGGGCGACCGGCCACAUUGGGACUGAGACACGGCCCAAACUCCUACGGGAGGCAGCAGUGGGGGAUACUGCACAAUGGGGGAAACCCUGAUGCAACGACGCCGCGUGAGGGAAGAAGGUUUUCGGAUUGUAAACCUCUGUCUUUGGGGAAGAGUAGAAGACGGUACCCAAGGAGGAAGCCACGGCUAACUACGUGCCAGCAGCCGCGGUAAAAC